AAAACACACACACAGGAUACACACACAGGAUACUUGUAUCCGUAACAGUUCGCUUCUCCCUUUUCAAGAAUAACUUUCAACAAGAGUAAGUUUCAAAUGAUCAUCUGAGGCUGAGCAGUUGCCGUACCAGGCAGUAAUGCAACGAGUCAGGAUGCUCUCGAUGUUGCAGCUGUAGAAUCUUUUGAGGAUCUGGAUUCUUAUUUAGAUCAUCAGAGAUGUGUACGUCGAGGAACUUGAAGCUUUCCACCUGCUCCACUGUGGUCCCAUUGAUGUGGAUUGGGGUGUACUCCCUCUGCUGUUUCCUGAAGUCUACAAUCAGCUCCGUUGUUUUGUUGACAUUGAGUGAGAGCCCUCUGCAGUGGUGUAAUGGUGCCUGGAGAAGUAUACUCUCCUAAACGGCCCGCCCAGUGAAGGAAAAGGCACCCUCUAUCCACGUACGAUGCAAUCGCCAUUGCACUGCACACCGCCCUAUCCCCCAAGAGUUGGACUAGAGCUCUUUCAACACGAUAGCGCCCUCCAAGCUUGUCAGUAAGCUCAGGGUCCUGGGUCUGAACCACUCCCUGUGCAGCUGGGUACUUGACUUCCUGAUGGGCUGACCCCAGUACAUGAAGAUUUAUUAAAAAGACCCCUUGGCUAGUCUCCUUGGAGACGGCAGUUGGCCGUGUGCCACAGACGCAUGAUGACAACAGGAAUCACUGCCAAAUGACUACCGAUGAACAAACAAACCAACGGCAGAUGAGUGACCGAUGGGUGGUAGCGGCGGCCAUUUUCAGGACCUCCAGCAACAUAAACUAUAUCUCUAGGACUGAGCAUUUGGACAGGUGUGAGUGUAUGUGAAUGGUGUGAACACAGAGCUUCUGUUACAUUAAAAUCCAU